rnacentral:rRNA from 1 species
UACCAGCACCCCGAGUGGUCGGGACGUUUUAUUGGGCCUAAAGCAUCCGUAGCCGGUUCUACAAGUCUUCCGUUAAAUCCAACUGCUUAACAGGUGGGCUGCGGAAGAUACUAUAGAGCUAGGAGGCGGGAGAGGCAAGCGGUACUCGAUGGGUAGGGGUAAAAUCCGUUGAUCUAUUGAAGACCACCAGUGGCGAAGGCGGCUUGCCAGAACGCGCUCGACGGUGAGGGAUGAAAGCUGGGGGAGCAAACCGG